rnacentral:lncRNA from 1 species
CUGAGUGGUAGUCUGCUGGCCCUGUGGUUGUGGCUCCAUUGAUAACAUGGUUGCUUUUACCUUUCAACUUUUGAUUUCAGCUGGAGUUCUCCAUUGAAGACUGCCUCUUUUUUUAUAUGUGAAAAAGUGGACAUUGGUGUCUUGUUUGCCUGAGAGCCCAGAGGUUUAAGUUUCAGUUCAUCUAGAAAAGCAAGUAAUCCACUCAGCCAGUAAAGCCUCCCGGCCAGCGAGAAGCUUUAUGAAUUUCCAUCCAAAACUUUGCCUUCAUGAUUCUCUAUGGAACUGCAGCUAAACCCAGAAGUCUAGUUCUUCUUUGAUCCAAAUGAGAAUCAUCGGAGAUUAGACACUCUUAUAUGGUGAUAUAUGAACUUAAUGAAUAACUAUUAAUGGAUUGACUGAUGUAAAAUGAUUAUUCUACAUUUGCCUCUGGAAUAUAUGUCUUUUCUCAACAACUUUUAUAAUUUCCUUGAAGGUAGGAAUUUCUUUUUAAUUUUACUUCUUUGAUAUCUCUUAGAACAUCUAGAACCAUGUU